rnacentral:misc_RNA from 1 species
AACGCAAAUUGCGCUCUUGGGUAGCCCUAGGAGCACGCCUCUCUCAGUAUCGGUUCAACAAUCUCUCAGCAGCGCUAUUGCAAAAUGGCGUGUUGGCUGGACAAUGAGAGUCUGUGCGCUCGUCGCGCAGUCUCUUUAAAUUCAUGGAGUGAGCAUGACUAACGAUCAGCUUUCGCCUUCGGGUGAGAUAGUCUAUUUCUGACUGUUGUUCGGUAGUGACGUGAAUAUUGGCCCUUGUGGUCUAACUUUUACGUGUAUCUGCCGAAUGAUAACUAAAGUUGGAUUUGGAUGAACGUUCGAGCUAGUUUCGUGUUUGCGUGAGUAAACCAUAUGAUUUCGAGCAAUCGGAGUCUGAAUUUUGAUCUGAGAUGAAGCGAGACAACCCCCUGAAUUUAA